AUUCAGAAUAGCAUGUAUCGUAUACAUUCCUUAAAGAAUAAAAAUUUAAAAUAGUCUGUUCUUCCUACUUGGAUUAAAGAGUAAUACAUUCCCAGUACUUCUAAAGUCCCGAUAGGCCCUUCUUCUUUCUUCUUUGUAGGCCCUGCUUAUCUUACCUGUCUUCUUCCUCUGCAGGGAAACUCCCUGAAUUUUACAGUGUUUCCCUGAUUUUAUCUGUUGUUUUAUCAUCUUUGUCAAAAGGCUUAAACAAUUUACUGCUCAGUGUUGCGUACUUUUGAACUUUUCACGAAUUCACACUCAUAUGGGAUCUCAGCUCCCCAACCAGGGAUCCGCACACCGCCUGCAAUGGAAGGCAAAGUCGUAGCUACUGGACUCCAGGGAGGCCCAUGAGCUUAAACUUCUAAAUCAGCUUCACAGGACAAGCAGCGGGACUCACCAGUUUUAUAAUUCAUUGAUUCCAAAUAUCCAGUCUUUGGGUGAGAAACUUCAUUUCCACCCGAACCAGAGGAAGACUACAGUUGCUCAGAAUGUCUUCUCACAUGGGACAUCACAAAAUAAAUUAGCCCAGGACAAAUGGGGGAACUUUCUUAUCUCUCAUUUGUGUUCCCAUGCCAUAUUUUCUGUGAGAAAGAUGUUCUUAAAUUUUUCUUCAAAAAAAAAAAUACUAUUCAUGUCUGUGUUUUUUAAGUAAUGCCAGAUUCGCCUUCCAAGCAUUGUACCAAUUCAUUUUCUCACCAGUGGUGACUGAGUGUUCUUGACAGUCUGCAUCCUCUCUCAACUCUUGGUACUGUUGGUUUUUAAAACUUUGCUCCAAGGGCCCGUUUUAAAAUAUAAAUCAGGUCAUGACACAUCCCUCCCUUAAAGCUGCCCAUUAGAUUAAUAAUAAAUCCUAAUCCUUUCAAAGCCCAUUGUAACUGGGCCCCUCGUACUUUCCUCUCCAACACUCUCCCCCAUUUCUUCUUGCUGUGUUCGUGUAUUUAAUAUUUUUUUAUUUAUUUGGCUGUGCUGGGUCUUGGACUUCCCUGGUGGCUCAGACGGUAAAGAAUCCACCUGCAAUGCGGGAGACCUAGAUUCGAUCCCUGGGUUGGAA
ensembl:lncRNA